UUUUUUGUGGAGAGUUUGAUCCUGGCUCAGGACGAACGCUGGCGGCGUGCUUAACACAUGCAAGUCGAACGGAAAGGCCAGUGCUUGCACUGGUACUCGAGUGGCGAACGGGUGAGUAACACGUGGGUGAUCUGCCUUGCACUCUGGGAUAAGCUUGGGAAACUGGGUCUAAUACCGGAUAUGAGCCACUUUUAGUGUGGUGGUUGGAAAGUUUUUUCGGUGCAAGAUGAGCUCGCGGCCUAUCAGCUUGUUGGUGGGGUAAUGGCCUACCAAGGCGUCGACGGGUAGCCGGCCUGAGAGGGUGUACGGCCACAUUGGGACUGAGAUACGGCCCAGACUCCUACGGGAGGCAGCAGUGGGGAAUAUUGCACAAUGGGCGGAAGCCUGAUGCAGCGACGCCGCGUGGGGGAUGACGGCCUUCGGGUUGUAAACUCCUUUCGACAGGGACGAAGC
rnacentral:rRNA from 1 species